CUGGGAAUUUUCCGCAAUGGACGAAAGUCUGACGGAGCAACGCCGCGUGAAGGAUGAAGGUAUUUAGGUAUUGUAAACUUCUUUUAUAUGAGACGAGAAAGGACGGUAUCAUAUGAAUAAGUCCCGGCUAACUACGUGCCAGCAGCCGCGGUAAUACGUAGGGGGCAAGCGUUGUUCGGAAUUACUGGGCAUAAAGGGUGCGCAGGCGGAUUAUUAAGCAAGAGGUGAAAAUGUCAAAGGCUCAAACCAUGGCACUGCCUUUUGAAACUGGUAGUCUGGAGUACAGAAGGGGAGAGCAGAAUUUCCGGUGUAGGGGGUGGAAUCUAUAGAUAUCGGAAAGGAAUACCGUUCGCGAAGGCGGCUCUCUGGUCUGUUACUGACGCUCAUGCACGAAAAGCGUGGGUAGCAAAACAGGAUUAGAUACCCUGGUAGUCCACGCCGUAAAACGUUGUACACUUGGUGGUUGGACUUUAAAGUUUGACUAUCGGAGCUAAAUG
rnacentral:rRNA from 1 species